UCUCCUGUAUUUUAAACAGGUAUACUUAAGAAGGACAGAGACUGUGGGAAAUGACAAACCUAUAUUCACCUCUCAGUCAUGUCAGAUUUUUCAUGCACUCUCACAGAGUGCAAAUAAAAGUUUGUGUCACAAUUACUAUCUAUCUUUUGGGUUUGGGCAGUUCUACUCAUAAUAUCUUGGAGAAUGACAGGAUCAAGAAAAAGAACAGGGACUCACAGAUGACAGCAUAGCAGCCCAAAACAAAGGCCAAGACAGGAAGGAGGAGGCCAGAGAACACUUACUGGCAAUAACGUGGCAUUCGCACCCCAACAACUCCAGCCAGCACGGAGCCUGAGUGAAUUCCUAUCCUCAUCUAAAGAAGAAUGAAAGAGGAAAAGGAACAUAUUUGUUUCCAUUUGAUAAGGUAUUGUUAUGCUGUCCAGCACAGGCUGGUGUCUAACUCCUGGAUUAAAGCCAUCCUCCCUCCUCAGCUUCUCGAGUAUCUGGGACUACAGAGGUAGACCUCAGAUUGCAGAAGACCAUCAGACCCAAGAGUACAACACACCAGGAUCUGGACUUUCCACUGUUUUUAAAGUUUUCACAGGCUGCAAUCUUCAAACUCUGCCACAAGAAAAACUCCAGAAGUAACUCUGAGGUCUGAUGUUUCACAAGGAAUACCUGUAUACUAUCUACAGGAAGUUGCGCAGGUCCUCCAUUUUCUUGCUUUUUUUGUGUUUUACUUCUUGGAUUACCUCUAAAACUCCGAAUCUCAUCAUCAUCAUUCUUGCUUGGAUUUCGUGACCUGGUCACUGACACACUUCCACAUCUUUCUGCUUUAACGUUCAGCACAAGCUAUAAUCAAUAUGUAUCUAUAUAAAGUCAAUACAUAUCCCUGGCUACGAUGUGAGCUUUUAAGAAAUGGGACUAUGUUCAGGAGAUCAAGACCAUCCUGGCUAACACGGUGAAACCCCAUCUCUACUAAAAGUACAAAAAGAAUUAGCCGGGCAUGAUGGCGGGCACCUGUAGUCCCAGCUACUCGGGAGACUGAGGUAGGAGAAUGGUGUGAACCUGGGAGGCGGAGCUUGCAGUGAGCGGAGAUCACGCCACUGCACUCCAGCCUGGGCAACACAGCGAGACUCCAUCAUCUCAAAAAAAAAAGAAAUGGGACUAUGUUUUUUUCAUCUCUGUAUUCACAGAGCUUAGCAUAAUGUCUAUAAUAUAGCUAUUUAUUAAAUAUCUCAUAUUUAUUGAAUAUUUGCUAAAUGAAUAAGUCAAUCAACCAUGCUAACCAUAAUCACAAUAAGUAAUUUUCACUGUUUGCUUAUUUUCACCAUUCAUUUUAUGAAUAUAUUCGGCACCUUAAGAAUAUUGGCAGAAACACAACAGUCUUAAUGCAGCUUUCCAGGAAUGCUCCAUUUUUCUCUCUUCUCUCUUCCUCUAAGGCAGCUCUAUACAAGUUUAGCAAAAUUAAAUAUAUGUGGAAGUGUUAGUGGAUUCCUUCAAAGUAAUUAGUGGGUUUUGCUUCAUGAGGAGCAGGAAAAGUGAAAGUGUCAUGUAUCAAUUCCAUUGCUCCUGAGUUUAUUUCCUUGAGCUAAACCAAAAUGAAACAAGUGGACAUGGUAAACAGACUACAAAAAAAAAAAAAAAAAAAAAGAAAAACUGUCUAAAAGUUGACUUUGUUCUGAAUUCCUUUAUAAUUGCCUCAGUGUUUUUAUAUAGUUUAAAUACAACAGACACAGUUUAAAAUAGUGCAUUUCAUUUAUUUUCACCAUCUCCCACCUGUUCGUGAAUGGCACUGGGUAAGAAUAAAGAUGGCUAAACUAAGCAUGGAGAUGGGGAAAAGAUAAUGCUUAUGCAAAUGUCUGAAAAAACUUACAUUAUUUUCUGAACAUAGAAGAGGAGGCUUAAGUACUAAAAAUACAUACAACUGCUCCCUUACAUAUUACUAUAGCUGCUUUUAUAAAACUUUGAAGAAUUUGCCUAUCUCAGUUUAUCUUUUCUCAAAACUUCAGAAUCAAAAUCUUUACAUUAUUCCAGAAAUAAAGGUGGUGUAAAUAAAUAUAUUAGAGCUAUGCAUUCACCUUGUUUUUUUGUUUUUUUAAGACAGGGUCUCACUCUGCCUACUUAGACUGGAGUACGGUGGCAUGAUGUGGGCUCUCUGCAACCCCUCCAUCCCGGGUUCAAGCAAUCCUCCCACCUCAGCCUCCCUUGUAGCUGGGACUACAGGCGCAUGUCACCAUGCCUGCCUUUUUUUUUUUUUUAAUUUUUGUAGAGACAGGGUUUCACCAUGUUGCCCAGGCUAGUCUCGAACUCCUGGGCUCAAGAGAUUUGUGCACCUCAGCCUCCCAAAGUGCUGGGAUUACAGGCAUAAGCCACCACGCCCAUCCCAUUUACCUUGUUUGUUUAUUUUAGUUUUAGAUCAUUUAAAAGAAUUUCUUUUAGCUCCUAAUUAAAUUUCAUUCCCAUAACAUUUUUCUCCUUGCCCUCUAGGCUAAUACUUAAGAAAUAUCUGGGAACUUCUUGGAUAUUUGGGCACAGAUGGAAGAAAGAAGUCGGGGUGAGGGGGUCAGUAUUGAGGAUAAGAUUAGCCAAAAAGAACAAUGUACACAAUUAGGCAAUUAACCAUCCCUGUUCCAUGGGACUGGUGACCACCUCAGUCCUUCAAUCUGACAGUCCUAGGUCUGUGCCUCUUUGAAUUUUCUAUGGGGCAUAAGAGCAGAGGUUCAGAGUCUACAUUACUGAACAAUCUUCCCAGGACACAAUCAAGAGAAGCAGCAAAUUAGAAAGUCUGCUUUCCAGCCGUUUUGUGUUCUAGGGUGCUCUGGUGCCUUAAAAAGAGACAGAGAGAGAAGAGAUAUUGGAAUAAGAUGUAGGCAGACAGAUAUAGAUAAACUUUAAAGAUGAGAAAUGCUUUCUUUUCUCUCUUAGUAUCUCACAGAGCACCUGGACACCUCAUCAUGCUCAGAUGAUAAAAUGAGGCAGAGAGAUUAAAUAACCCAUGAAAGGUGGAAUGAUGAGAAAUCCAACUAGUGCACUCAAGAUAGCACUGGGAUUCCACAGCCUUGUCUGAAUGGAUUGAAAGAAACAUAUCUUACCCUUGCCUCUUCCUUAUCUCCAACCAAAGUGCUCGCCAAAGGCAAACGUAUAAAUGAGGUUAAACCCUCUUCAGGUAAUUUUUACAGCAUUAUGGUAUUUUGAAACUGACAAUAUAACUCCUGCCAUAGAAAAGCUAUUGGAACAGAAUGCUUAUCUGUGACUUUCACCUUACUUCCUACAGCAUAUAAAUGAGUUCUUUUCUAUUCAUUAAAAUUGUUCUAAAAAUACAUGCUAAUUUCCAUAACAUUUUAAAGGUUCUAUGGAAGUCAUGGCUCCUUAUCAAAUGAGUUGUAAAUGUUUAUUGAGUGAAUGAAUGAGUUGAAUAAAUUUUUGACUUAAGAAAUUCUUAUUUCCUAAUUAGAAAACAUUGUUGCUUUGUUUCCAACAAAAUAUCAGUAAAAGCAAAUGAUGUUGAUGUUGAUGGAGACUACUGAAGAGAACUAACAUAAAUCUGAAACAGUGCUCAAUUUAAAAAGUGUGUGCACUGAUCAUUAAAAGAGAAAAUAUGUAAAUCUUGGGGAAAAAUGAAGCAGUUACUCUUUACUAAAUGGAACUGGCAUUUCAUGCUGCAAAUGACGUAAAAUGGCAUAUACAUAUUUAUAAAAUUCCAACAAUAACCUAAGUACCUAAGUACUUUGAAAGGCAACAAAACAAGGUGGAAGUGAAGCAUUUCAUUUUUCUGUGAAAUCUAUUUCAUGCUGAAGUGAUAUCCUUGAGAAUCUACUGCAUUUUCUAGAGGCUGGCUGAAGGUCCAGCGAAGAAGAGAGGGCUUUAGUAGCUUCCUAUCAAGUGGCAAGACAAAUCAAAAUUCUUGAGGCAUAAAGCUGUGUAGCCCUAAAACUCUAUGUCAGAAACAUCUGUUUUCAGAUGUUUGAUGAGGUUGCCAUAUUCAGUUCCCCUUUGACACUGUAGACUUGUCCUGUGCACCCUCUGAUUCUAAGCUUAAUUCUGUCCAGGGAAAAGACUCUGCUUCUUUAUCAAAGUUUGUACUGAUACCCAUAUUUAUACUUUCUAUCUAGACAUGUUGCCUGGUUUCCAGUUCCUAUCAUCUAGUCCCCUUGGGCCCACUCAUAUUCCCUGUGAGUGAGCCUGGAUUUCCUACUUUGCUAAUUGGCCUGAACUCUGCUUUUCCAGCUAGGCUUAUAAUACUUACAUUUCCUUGCCAAUAUGAACUUUGUGUUGUUGUUUUUCAGAUUUUUAACAUCAGGUUCCCUAAUGUAAUAGAAUUUGGGUCCUGGUAUUACCUGGUUGCCCUAUCUUGUCUUACUGUUCCUUCUUCCCAAUCUAAACCUGACAAUGUUUAAUGCCAUGGACAUUUGCAAACCACACUUAGAGGCUGUGAUGGGAAUACUCCCCCUCUACCUUUACUCUGACAGAGAAAACUAUUUUAUCACUAACAUUUUUUUUUUUUUUUGAGACGUAGUCUCACUCUGUUGCCCAGGCUGGAAUGCAGUGGCGUGAUCUCAGCUCACUGCAACCUCUACCACCUGGGUUCAAGCAAUUCUCCUGCCUCAGCCUCCUGACUAGUUUGGAUUACAGGCACCCACCACCAUGCCUGGCUAAUUUUUGUAUUUUUAGUAGAGACAGCGUUUCACCAGGUUGGCCAGGCUGGUCUCGAACUCCUGACCUCAGGUGAUCCACCCACCUCGGCCU
rnacentral:lncRNA from 1 species